UGCUGUAACCAUUUUAUGAUUC
rnacentral:miRNA from 17 species